rnacentral:rRNA from 1 species
AAUCAACGCUGGCGGCGUGCCUCAGACAUGCAAGUCGAACGAUUAAAGCUCUCUUCGGAGAGUGUAUAGAGUGGCGCACGGGUGAGUAACACGUAAGUAAUCUACCUUUGAGUGGGGAAUAACGUCCGGAAACGGACGCUAAUACCGCAUAAUGCAGCGGCAUCGCAAGAUGACAGUUGUUAAAGAUUUAUCGCUUGAAGAGGAGCUUGCGGCAGAUUAGCUAGUUGGUAAGGUAAUGGCUUACCAAGGCUACGAUCUGUAACCGGUCUAAGAGGACGGUCGGUCACACUGACACUGAAUAACGGGUCAGACUCCUACGGGAGGCAGCAGUCGGGAAUUUGGGCAAUGGGCGAAAGCCUGACCCAGCAACGCCGCGUGAAGGAUGAAGUAUUU